rnacentral:lncRNA from 1 species
AAAUGUCUGAGGACCAGGACUAUCUCAAAGUCUCUGGAAAAACUGAAAGAAUUCUGCUGCGAUUCUGCCAUUCCUCAAAAUAGAGUCCAGAUAGCACCUCUUCAAGAGAGGUUUGCAGUUCUACCAAAAUGUACUGAUUUUGAGGAUAUCAGUUUUCAACGUGCAAAGAAUGCAGUUUAUUCUGAAGAUUCUAAAUCCCAAGUGAACCAAAAGGUAUGUAAUUGUUAUAUAGAUGUAUUUCCAGUUACCCAGAAUAGUAGGUUCUGAAAUCCUUUAGUUUCUGUAGGGUCACUAAGGACAUUUGACUGAUCAUCUGAGUUACCUGACAGAUCUUUUGUUUCACAGACAUAUUGUGAAACAUAAGAAAUUCUAACAUAUUCUAACAUUCUAAUUUGCUGUGUAUUAUGAGGGAUGAAUUGGUUUGUGUUCAAACAAAACAAAACAAAAAAUUAAA